AUUGAACGCUGGCGGCAGGCCUAACACAUGCAAGUCGAGCGAGCGGCGGACGGGUGAGUCAUGUCUGGGAAACUGCCUGAUGGAGGGGGAUAACUACUGGAAACGGUAGCUAAUACCGCAUACCAUCAGAUGUGCCCAGAUGGGCUUAGCUAGUAGGUGGGGUAAUGGCUCACCUAGGCGACGAUCCCUAGCUGGUCUGAGAGGAUGACCAGCCAAACUGGAACUUAGACACGGUCCAGACGCCUAAGGGAGGCAGCAGUUGGGAAUAUGGCACAAAGGUCGCAAGCCUGAUGCAGCCAUGCCGCGGGUGUGAAGAAGGCCUUCGGGUUGUAAAGCACUUUCAGCGGGGAUGCGUUACCCGCAGAAGAAGCACCGGCUAACUCCGUGCCAGCAGCCGCGGUAAUAC
rnacentral:rRNA from 1 species